AGAGGGGCUCAGUUUUCUGCAACA
rnacentral:piRNA from 1 species